rnacentral:rRNA from 1 species
CCUGCUCGAAUAUAGGGGGACCACCCUCUAAGCCUAAAUACUCUUCAGUGACCGAUAGUGAACUAGUACCGUGAGGGAAAGGUGAAAAGAACCCCUAUUAGGGGAGUGAAAUAGAACCUGAAACCGCAUGCCUACAAUCAGUCGAAGCUCUUUUUAGAGUGACGGCGUACCUUUUGUAUAAUGGGUCAGUGACUUAAUUUAUUAAGCAAGCUUAAGCCAUCUAGGUGUAGGCGCAGCGAAAGCAAGUCUUAAUAGGGCGAUCAGUUUAAUGAAUUAGACCCGAAAACGAAUGAGCUUACCAUGAGCAGGUUGAAAGUAAGGUAACACUUACCGGAGGACCGAACCAGUUGACGUUGAAAAGUCUUUGGAUGACUUGUGGUAAGGGGUGAAAGGCCAACCAAAUUCGUAGAUAGCUGGUUUUCCGCGAAAACUAUUUAGGUAGUGCGUUGAAUAAAUAGACGUUUAGAGGUAGAGCACUAAAUGGGCUAGGGGGAAGAGAUUCUUACCAAACCUAAUAAAACUCCGAAUGCUAAACGUUGUUCUUCAGCAGACAGACUGUGGGUGCUAAGGUCCAUGGUCGAGAGGGAAAGAGCCCAGACCACCAGAUAAGGUCCCCAAAUUAUGAUUAAGUGUGAAAGGAUGUGGAAAUUCCUUAACAGCCGGGAGGUUGGCUUAGAAGCAGCCAUCCUUUAAAGAUAGCGUAACAGCUCACCGGUCUAAUAGAGUUUCUGCGCCGAAGAUGUAACGGGGCUAAAAUCAUAUACCGAAUCUGUGGAUUUGUAAUUUUUUCGAAAAUUACAACUGGUAGCGGAACGUUCUGUAAGCCUGCGAAGGGAUACCUGUGAAGGAUCCUGGAGGUAUCAGAAGUGCGAAUGCUGACAUAAGUAACGAUAAAAGAAGUGAAAAACUUCUUCGCCGAAAAUCCAAGGGUUUCUGCGCAAGGUUAAUCCGCGCAGAGUUAGUCGGCACCUAAGGCGAGGGCGAAAGCCGUAGUCGAUGGAAAUAAGGUUAAUAUUCCUUAACCAGAUGGUAGUGACGGAUCUUGUAAGUUGUAAGCUCUUAAUGGAUUGAGCUUGCUGCGAAAAGGUUCCAAGAAAUAGCUCCAUCAUUAGACCGUACCCUAAACCGACACAGGUGGAUUAAUAGAGUAUAUUUAGGCGCUUGAGAGAAUGAUGUUGAAGGAACUCGGCAAAAUACUUCCGUAACUUCGGGAUAAGGAAGACCUUUUUUUAGGCAACUAUUAGAAGGUGGCACAAGCCAGGGAGAAGCGACUGUUUAUCAAAAACACAGGGCUCUGCUAACACGUAAGUGGAUGUAUAGGGUCUGACGCCUGCCCGGUGCUGGAAGGUUAAUGCGGUUGGUGCAAGCUAACUUCUGAAGCCCCAGUAAACGGCGGCCGUAACUAUAACGGUCCUAAGGUAGCGAAAUUCCUUGUCGGGUAAGUUCCGACCUGCAUGAAUGGCGUAACGAUUUCUCCGCUGUCUCCAACAUCAACUCAGUGAAAUUGAAUUCU